rnacentral:rRNA from 1 species
UUGGAGGGCAAGUCUGGUGCCAGCAGCCGCGGUAAUUCCAGCUCUAAUAGCGUAUAUUAAAGUUGUUGCAGUUAAAAAGCUCGUAGUUGAAUUUCGGGAUCAGUAUGUUGGUCGUGCUUCGGUACGUACUGUCAUUACUGGUUUCUCCCUUCUGAAGAACCUUGAUGUCAUUAAUUUGGUGUCUUGGGGAAUCAGGACUGUUACUUUGAAAAAAUUAGAGUGUUUAAAGCAGGCAUACGCUUGAAUACAUUAGCAUGGAAUAAUGAAAUAGGACGUUUGAUUCUAUUUUGUUGGUUUCUAGGAUCGACGUAAUGAUUAAUAGGGAUAGUUGGGGGCAUUAGUAUUCAAUUGUCAGAGGUGAAAUUUUUGGAUUUAUUGAAGACUAACUACUGCGAAAGCAUUUGCCAAGGAUGUUUUCAUUAAUCAAGAACGAAGGUUAGGGGAUCGAAGACGAUCAGAUACCGUCGUAGUCUUAACCAUAAACUAUGCCGACUAGGGAUCGGAUGAUGUUAAUUUUUUAAUGACUCAUUCGGCGCCUUACGGGAAAC